UGUCUUAGCGGCGGAUGGGUGAGGAACACGUGGAUAACCUGCCUCUCACUGGGGGAUAACAGUUGGAAACGACUGUUAAUACCGCAUAUGCUCACGGGACCGCAUGGUCCUGGGAGGAAAGAUUUAUCGGUGAGAGAUGGGUCCGCGCCGGAUUAGCCAGUUGGCGGGGUAACGGCCCACCAAGGCGAUGAUGCAUAGCCGGGCUGAGAGGCUGAACGGCCACAUUGGGACUGAGACACGGCCCAGACUCCUACGGGAGGCAGCAGUAGGGAAUUUUCGGCAAUGGGGGAAACCCUGACCGAGCAACGCCGCGUGAGUGAUGAAGGUCUUCGGAUUGUAAAGCUCUGUUGUAAGGGAAGAAUGAAUUGGAUAGAAUCCGAUUGUGACGGUACCUUACCAGAAAGCUACGGCUAACUACGUGCCAGCAGCCGCGGUAAUACGUAGGUAGCGAGCGUUAUCCGGAAUUAUUGGGCGUAAAGGGUGCGUAGGCGGCUUGUUAAGUUUAAGGUGAAAGAAUGGGGCUCAACCCCAUAAAGCCUUAGAUACUGGCAAGCUAGAGUACUGGAGAGGGUAGUGGAAUUCCAUGUGUAGCGGUAAAAUGCGUAGAUAUAUGGAGGAACACCGGUGGCGAAGGCGGCUACCUAGACAGAGACUGACGCUGAGGCACGAAAGCGUGGGGAGCAAAUAGGAUUAGAUACCCUAGUAGUCCACGCCGUAAACGAUGAAUGCUAGAUAUCGGGGCAACUCGGUGUCGAAACUAACGCGAUAAGCAUUCCGCCUGUGGAGUAUGCACGCAAGUGUGAAACAUAAAGGAAUUGACGGGGGCCCGCACAAGCGGUGGAGUAUGUGGUUUAAUUCGACGCAACGCGAAGAACCUUACCAGGCCUUGACAUCCCUUGCAAAACUCUAGAGAUAGAGCAGAGGUUAUCAAGGUGACAGGUGGUGCAUGGUUGUCGUCAGCUCGUGUCGUGAGAUGUUGGGUUAAGUCCCGCAACGAGCGCAACCCUUGUCUUCAGUUACCAUCAUUAAGUUGGGGACUCUGGAGAGACUGCCGGUGAUAAACCGGAGGAAGGUGGAGAUGACGUCAAAUCAUCAUGCCCCUUAUGGCCUGGGCUACACACGUACUACAAUGGCUGUUACAACGUGAAGCAACACUGUGAAGUGAAGCGAAUCACUAAAAGGCAGUCUCAGUUCGGAUUGAAGUCUGCAACUCGACUUCAUGAAGUUGGAAUCGCUAGUAAUCGCGGAUCAGCAUGCCGCGGUGAAUACGUUCUCGGGCCUUGUACACACCGCCCGUCAUACCAUGAGAGCUGGCAAUACCCGAAGCCGG
rnacentral:rRNA from 1 species